GACGGAGGUUGCAAGCGUUAUCCGGAAUGAUUGGGCGUAAAGCGUCCGCAGGUGGCAGUUCAAGUCUGCUGUCAAAGACCGGGGCUUAACUUCGGAAAGGCAGUGGAAACUGAACAGCUAGAGUAUGGUAGGGGCAGAGGGAAUUCCUGGUGUAGCGGUGAAAUGCGUAGAGAUCAGGAAGAACAUCGGUGGCGAAGGCGCUCUGCUGGACCAUAACUGACACUCAGGGACGAAAGCUAGGGGAGCGAAUGGG
rnacentral:rRNA from 1 species